GCCACACUGGGACUGAGACACGGCCCAGACUCCUACGGGAGGCAGCAGUGGGGAAUAUUGCACAAUGGGCGAAAGCCUGAUGCAGCGACGCCGCGUGAGGGAUGACGGCCUUCGGGUUGUAAACCUCUUUCAGUAGGGAAGAAGCGAAAGUGACGGUACCUGCAGAAGAAGCGCCGGCUAACUACGUGCCAGCAGCCGCGGUAAUACGUAGGGCGCAAGCGUUAUCCGGAAUUAUUGGGCGUAAAGAGCUCGUAGGCGGUUUGUCGCGUCUGCCGUGAAAGUCCGGGGCUCAACUCCGGAUCUGCGGUGGGUACGGGCAGACUAGAGUGAUGUAGGGGAGACUGGAAUUCCUGGUGUAGCGGUGAAAUGCGCAGAUAUCAGGAGGAACACCGAUGGCGAAGGCAGGUCUCUGGGCAUUAACUGACGCUGAGGAGCGAAAGCAUGGGGAGCGAACAGGAUUAGAUACCCUGGUAGUCC
rnacentral:rRNA from 2 species